AUCUAAGGCCGUAUCACUCUGAAUGCAUCUGAUCUUAUCUGAUCUUGGAAGCUAAGCAGGGUCAAGACUGGCUAGUCACUAUAUCUGCUGCCUAAACAAGCAUGAUAAGUACACUUUAAACA
rnacentral:rRNA from 1 species